UUUCUCUUCUCCCCAGCCACAAGCAAAAGGCAUUUUUCUUGCUUAUUUCUUCAGUUUCUCUCAAAAUUUCAACUAUCCACCUUAAAAUUUUGGUAAAAUCUCAACGAAGGCCACCUAUUGAACUUAUUUCCUCCAUCAAUCUCUUAAAUUUCAGUUAGGGUUUCAUGGGUUAUAGUGAGGGAAAGCUAUGACCAGUGAGACGAAGCUUUCAAUAAGGAAAUGAUGAUUUAAGGAUUUCCAAGUUUGAUUGGUGUUCAUGUAAGCAUGAUUAAGUGUUGUAGAGCAUCCAUUAAGGUAGGUUAGUAAGCUCAGGUAACUAUGAAUAAAUUAUUUAAUUAAGAUUUUAAUUAUGUUAAUAAUCAUGUGGAAGUCCAUGGCACAAUAUGUAACACCUCAAAAAUUUCAGCAUCGGAUUUUGUGUGAAUCGAGAUAAAUUCGGUAAAAGAUAUAAAUUUAUAAUAAAUUAAUUUUGAAAAUUUUUGGAUGAAUUGUUAAAAUAUAAUUUUGUUAGUAUUUCUUAUGUGUCAUGGACUUAUUUGGAAUUCUAGUAUAAUUUUGAGAUUAAAAUAAAUUCCGAUUUUAUUUUAGAGAUUAAAUUGAAAUUUCAAUAUUCAGAGGACUAAACUUGCAAUUAACUUUUCUUUCAUUUGUUUUAGAAUGUUGUGGCGCGUGUGUUGUAUUAUUAUUAUUAUUGGUGUUGUUGUUAUAUUUAAAUAGAUUUUGGAUUUUCUUAAUAUAAUGUGGUAUUAUAUUUCUAGAAUAAUUAAAAGUAGAACUAUUAAAAGCCCUUAAAUUUAUCAAAUUUCCUUUUAUUGUUUUUCAUAUAUGCUUUUCUAUAAAUGAUUUUAUGAAAUUAGGAUACCUUGAAAAUAGUAUCAUUUCUAAUAAUUUAAUGUUAUUUCACCUUUUUAUCUUGAAAAAAAUUAAAUUCAACAGAAAUUUAAAAUAAAAAUACUAAAAUAACAUUAAAUUAUUGAAAAUAGAUAUCUUAUGCAUUCCCUUGCUGCAAGCCACUAUUCUCCCAAAUUUCCGCCUUCAAUUGCCUUCAAUAUUCUUUUCUUCUCUUUCUGGCUUCCAAUUGCCUUACUUGAGCCGUCUGAGUUACCACCGUUUGCAAUCCAAUUAGUGCUGCCAAUUUUUGCUGCGUUGCCGCUCCAAAACCUUGCUACCUGCCGCCGACCUUACCCAAUACAACUGCUGCCAUCAAUUGUUAUGAUGUCGCCCAAGCUGUUGUUAUCAUGACCACUCUCUUGUUUGCUCCGUUUGCCAUAACAAAAAAAUGAAAAAGCAAUAAGGUGGUAUACUUUUUUCGGAUUGCUACAUCAUUGUCAAUCGAUUUGUUGCAUCCGUAUCAAAAUAAUUGCCGCAGUCUUGUUUCCAAUCUUAGCCGCUGUUUUGAUCUCCAAAUUCCCACUAAUUUUCGACCAAAAUUACCAUUAAAUUGCUGUUGCUUGGUACUGUCAUUAGCUUCUAUUACUUUAAUUGAUUUAAUUUAUUUCUGCCCACUAUUUGCUUUAACGUCAAGUUUCAUUGUUUUGGUUUUAGUAUUUUUAAGUAAUAAUUUUGCAUUAUUGGUAAUGGUUUUUAAAGGACGUUUUACUUCUCUUGUUGUGAUAUAUAUGUUCUUCUUUUAUUUUAAUUCUCAUAAUUUGAAUAUUAUUGAUUAAUGCUUUGAAUGAUAUUGAUUCAUAUUGUUCUAAAUUUUGAAUAACUAAGGUUAAUUUAUUUAGAUUAAGGUCAUGAUAUUUGUUUAUUUAGAUUUAAAUAAAUUUUAGGAUGGCAUAUUAUAUUAGAUUAAUUAUUAUAUGUAUUAAGAUUAAGUUGAAUUUGGUUUAGGUUAAGUAGAAGUUGAGUUGUAUCGGUACACUAGCUCCUUUGUAUCUGUAGAAGUUUCUCAAUCUUUGUAAAAAUGAUUUUAAUAGGAUAUUUUCCAAAGUGUUUUGAACAUUUAAACUCAUGAAAUAUAUUUGAAGACAUGUUGAACCAUUUUUUU